rnacentral:rRNA from 1 species
AAUAAAAAAAUUUUUAAUAUUGGGGGGUAUUAAAGUAUUUUUUUAAAAAAAAAUAAAUUAUUUUAUAGUUAAUUAGUAUUGAGAAAGAAAUUUGAAAUAAUUGAAAAUAAAUUGAUGGAAAAGUAGUUUUAGUUUAAUGUAUCUUGUGUAUCAGAGUUUAUUAAAAAAUAUUUUUUUUAAAAAAAAAUCUCGAAUUUAAAAGAGUUAAUUAAUUAUAAAAGUUAAUGUAGAAAAAUUAUUUUAAAUAAUUAAUUUGAAAUGAAAUGUUAAUCGUUUUUAAAUAUAUCUAGUUAUUUUAGAAAAAAAUUUAAUUUAAAAUUUAAAAAAUUUUAUUAUUAAUUAUAAAAUUAAUAAUAAAAUAUUUAAAAUUAAAUAUAUUAUGGGAUAAGCUUUAAUAUAAAAAAUUAUAAUAAAUUAAGUAAAAAAUAUGAAAAUUUUAGAAUUUAUAUUGUUAAAAAAUUAUAAUUUGUUAUAAAAAAUUUCAUAAAUAAUAAAAUUUAAUAUAAAAUUUAAUUUUAUAUAAAAUAAUAAUUUAAAAUAAUAUAAAAUUAAAAAUAAUGAUAAAAUUAGUAUAUUAAAUUAAAAAUAUAUUUUAAUUAAUUAAAAUUAAAUUAAAGGAAUUCGGCAAAAUUUUAUAUUCACUUGUUUAUCAAAAACAUGUCUUUUAGGUAAUAAUUUAAAGUCUAAUCUGCCCACUGAUAAAUAUAUUAAAGGGCUGCAGUAUAUUGACUGUACAAAGGUAGCAUAAUCAAUAGUCUUUUGAUUGAAGACUUGUAUGAAAGAUUUGAUGAAAUAUAAACUGUCUCUAAUUUAUAAAUAAAAUUUAAUUUUUUAGUUAAAAAGCUAAAAUAAAUUUAAAAGACGAGAAGACCCUGUAGAGUUUUAUAUUAUUUUUAUUUAAGAUUAUAUUUAUAAAUAAAAAUUAAAAAUGAAAAUAAUAUUUUAUUGGGGUGAUAGAAAAAUUUAUUUAACUUUUUUUAAUUAACUAAUUAUCAUAAAUAAGUGAAUAAUUGAUCCAUUUUUAAUGAUUAAAAGAAAAAAUUACCUUAGGGAUAACAGCGUAAUAUUUUUUUCUAGUACGUAUAGAAAAAAAAGUUUGCGACCUCGAUGUUGGAUUAAGAUAAAAUUUAAAUGCAAAAGUUUAAAAUUUUGAUCUGUUCGAUCAUUAAAAUCUUACAUGAUCUGAGUUCAAACCGGUGUAAGCCAGGUUGGUUUCUAUCUUUAAUAUAAUAAAAUAUUUUAGUACGAAAGGAUCAGAUAUUUUUAAUAAUUAAAAUUUUAUGAAUAUUAUUAAUUUAAUUUUAA